AUGUAUUGAUUGAAUAAACAAAGCACCACAAUAUCAACAAUAAAGAAAAAACCCUAAUGAAUCAAUAGAAAAAUAAAAGCCUAACAAAGUUAAAAGAGCAGACAUAAAAUCAACUCUACCAAUAUUGUUAGGCCAAAUCCAACAUUAGGCAACAGGCAGAGCUGGCAAACCAUCAUUGUCCAAGAUAAACACCAAGGAUGAUGGUGAGUGAUGAAUCCAACCCUCCAAACGCAUCUCUACUUUAGAAUGCUUAGCGACCCUUUUGAUCCUUUAGAUUAAAAAGUUAUUCACCUGAUUUUUUUUAAAAAAAUAUCAAACCUUUUCAGAAUCGGUUUCAGCUUCCACCUCUCAGAAUCCCUUUUCUUAGUUUCCGAAAAACCAAUAAAAGAAUUAGUUUGCAUAAGCACAUUCUCCCAUCUAUUUUUAUCAGAAAGGUCGACCCCUUUAGUGACCACCAUAGCUUCUACAACCUCAACCUCAUCCGCUGUCUUCUUCUCAGCUGCUCCAUCAAGAACCAUUCCUCUACCGUCUCUACAAAUGACACCUACACUAGCUUUACCAUAUUUAACAUCGAAAGCCCCAUCGCAGUUAAUCUUAACCCAUCCUUCUGGUGGUCUCCCCCAAACUUCUUCAAGAGUACCCUCCUGCUUAAAAUCCCUCUCAGUCGAGCAUUCAUUCCUAACUGCUAUAUAUUCUUGAGUAGCAGAUUUUAUUAUACAGAUGACCCCAUUAAUAACUACCUACUUACCACCAAGAAGGACCUCACACCUCAUCUUCCAAAUAAACCAGCAUACAAAAAUGAUUCUAGUGGUAAGACCCUUAACCCCCCCCCCCCAACAUUUGACAAAUUUUAAACAUAAACAUUUCUAACUAAAAUAAAUUUAAUAGGUGGCUAAUUACAAUUAUGACACUAGAGAUGGUAGUAAACAAUGUUGCAACAUCGGAUGGACUAUAGUCGGUGAUAGUACUCAAUGAGGAAUGCUACGACUCUAGUAGAAUGAGUGUUGCAACGGUCAAGACUAGCAAUACCCACAUUCUUGAAGGCAGUGAAUAACAUCGUGAUGUGGGAUAUCUUAUUGUCACGAUAGAAGAAAAAAAAUUGAAGUAUAAAAUGUUUUAGACUAAACAGCAUGUUGUGACUGUAAAGGUCGGGUGAGUGUAAAGAGUUAAAAGCACCAUUUUCAUUUGUCUUCUUCAUUUUCCCUUUUCUCUUCUUGACUACUUCUUUGAGGACUUUAUUUUGCUCAUCAUGAUUCUCUCAAGAAGGCAUUGUGGGUUUUUUGUGGUCAAG
rnacentral:lncRNA from 1 species